UACGUAGGCAGCGAGCGUUGUUCGGAGUUACUGGGCGUAAAGAGUGCGUAGGCGGUUUUCUAAGUUUGGUGUGAAAUCUCCCGGCUUAACUGGGAGGGUGCGCCGAAAACUGGAAGGCUUGAGUAUGGGAGAGGUAAGCGGAAUUCCUGGUGUGGCGGUGAAAUGCGUAGAUAUCAGGAGGAACAUCUGCGGUGUAGACGGCUUACUGGACCAUAACUGACGCUGAGGCACGAAAGCGUGGGUAGCAAACAGG
rnacentral:rRNA from 1 species